UGCCGAGAAAAGCCUCUAGAUAGAUAACAGGUGCCCGUACCGCAAACCGACACAGGUAGUCAAGAUGAGAAUUCUAAGGUGAGCGAGCGAACUCUCGUUAAGGAACUCGGCAAAAUGACCCCGUAACUUCGGGAGAAGGGGUGCUCUUUAGGGUUCACGCCCAGAAGAGCCGCAGUGAAUAGGCCCAAGCGACUGUUUAUCAAAAACACAGGUCUCUGCUAAACCGUAAGGUGAUGUAU
rnacentral:rRNA from 1 species